CCUACGGGUGGCAGCAGUGGGGAAUAUUGCACAAUGGGCGCAAGCCUGAUGCAGCCAUGCCGCGUGUGUGAAGAAGGCCUUCGGGUUGUAAAGCACUUUCAGCGGGGAGGAAGGCGGUGAGGUUAAUAACCUCAUCGAUUGACGUUACCCGCAGAAGAAGCACCGGCUAACUCCGUGCCAGCAGCCGCGGUAAUACGGAGGGUGCAAGCGUUAAUCGGAAUUACUGGGCGUAAAGCGCACGCAGGCGGUCUGUCGAGUCGGAUGUGAAAUCCCCGGGCUCAACCUGGGAACUGCAUUCGAAACUGGCAGGCUAGAGUCUUGUAGAGGGGGGUAGAAUUCCAGGUGUAGCGGUGAAAUGCGUAGAGAUCUGGAGGAAUACCGGUGGCGAAGGCGGCCCCCUGGACAAAGACUGACGCUCAGGUGCGAAAGCGUGGGGAGCAAACAGGAUUAGAUACCCUAGUAGUC
rnacentral:rRNA from 1 species